rnacentral:rRNA from 1 species
CUAUACAUGCAGUCGAGCGAGCCGAACUAAUUGAUUACCUUCGGGUAUGAAGUUAGGGAAGCGAGCGGCGGAUGGGUGAGUAACACGUGGGUAACCUACCCUAUAGUCUGGGAUACCACUUGGAAACAGGUGCUAAUACCGGAUAAAAGGAGAGAUCACAUGAUUUCUUUUUGAAAGGCGGCGUAAGCUGUCGCUAAAGGAUGGACCCGCGGUGCAUUAGCUAGUUGGUAAGGUAACGGCUUACCAAGGCAACGAUGCAUAGCCGAGUUGAGAGACUGAUCGGCCACAUUGGGACUGAGACACGGCCCAAACUCCUACGGGAGGCAGCAGUAGGGAAUCUUCCACAAUGGACGCAAGUCUGAUGGAGCAACGCCGCGUGAGUGAAGAAGGUUUUCGGAUCGUAAAGCUCUGAUGUUGGUGAAGAAAGAUAGUGAGAGUAACUGCUCAUUAUUUGCCGGUAAUCAACCAGAAAGUCACGGCUAACUACGUGCCAGCAGCCGCGGUAAUACGUAGGUGGCAAGCGUUGUCCGGAUUUAUUGGGCGUAAAGGGAACGCAGGCGGUCUUUUAAGUCUGAUGUGAAAGCCUUCGGCUUAACCGGAGAAGUGCAUUGGAAACUGGAAGACUUGAGUGCAGAAGAGGAGAGUGGAACUCCAUGUGUAGCGGUGAAAUGCGUAGAUAUAUGGAAGAACACCAGUGGCGAAAGCGGCUCUCUGGUCUGUAACUGACGCUGAGGUUCGA